rnacentral:rRNA from 1 species
CCUACGGGAGGCAGCAGUCGAGAAUUAUUCACAAUGGGGGAAACCCUGAUGGGGCGACGCCGCGUGGGGGAAUGAAGGUCUGCGGAUUGUAAACCCCUGUCAUGUGGGAGCAAAUUAAAAAGAUAGUACCACAAGAGGAAGAGACGGCUAACUCUGUGCAAGCAGCCGCGGUAAUACAGAGGUCUCAAGCGUUGUUCGGAAUAACUGGGCGUAAAGGGUGCGUAGGCUGUUUCGUAAGUCGUGUGUGAAAGGCGCGGGCUCAACCCGCGGACGGCACAUGAUACUGCGAGACUAGAGUAAUGGAGGGGGAACCGGAAUUCUCGGUGUAGCAGUGAAAUGCGUAGAUAUCGAGAGGAACACUCGUGGCGAAGGCGGGUUCCUGGACAUUAACUGACGCUGAGGCACGAAGGCCAGGGGAGCGAAAGGGAUUAGAUACCCGAGUAGUC